UAAUCAUGGUUUUGAAUCCACCCUUAGCCAAAACGAAAUUAGCCAAUCAUACUUAAAAGCAAAACAAAGAUUACAUGAAUUAGACAUUAAAAUCCAAAGAAAGAAAACACCUAGAAUGCUCCAACUUGGCAGCAAGUGCAUCCAAGAUUCCUCCUUUCCCUUGCUUGUGGCAGAUUGGUUUGUGGACAGGUUUUGGGUAGUUCUAUGGUGCAGAAAGGUUUAUGGUGAGUGUAGAGGAGUGUUUGAUGGUGGAAGGGUGGCGG
rnacentral:lncRNA from 1 species